AUUUCAUAAACAUGUAAAUAUUUAUAAAGUAUGAGACAUGUUGAAUGAAAUGUAUUUAUUUUAUAUUAUAAUAAAUAAGUCUUGACCAAUAUAAAAAUGUCAAAAAUAAAUUCAUAUUAGAAUUUUAAAGCUUUAAGAUAUAAGUAAAGUUAAUAGUUCUACUUAUAGCACCAGAAAACUCCUAAUAAAAAAAGAUGAGCAAAAAAAAAGCAAAUCGAAAGAAUAGUUAGAGAAAAUAUAUAUUUGAAAGGAAUAAAUUUAAAGGAAUAU
rnacentral:lncRNA from 1 species